rnacentral:tRNA from 1 species
UCGACUCCGUGGGCGGGGCCUCGGCCGGUGAGCUGCUGUCACUCCUCGGUGAGAACGGCACGCUCGUCUCGUUCGGCGCGAUGGAGUCGGGCCA